rnacentral:rRNA from 1 species
GGGGAAUAUUGCACAAUGGGGGAAACCCUGAUGCAGCGAUGCCGCGUGGAGGAAGAAGGUUUUCGGAUUGUAAACUCCUGUUGAAGAGGACGAUAAUGACGGUACUCUUUUAGAAAGCUCCGGCUAACUACGUGCCAGCAGCCGCGGUAAUACGUAGGGAGCGAGCGUUGUCCGGAAUUACUGGGUGUAAAGGGAGCGUAGGCGGGACGGCAAGUCAGAUGUGAAAACUAUGGGCUCAACCCAUAGACUGCAUUUGAAACUGUAGAGCUUGAGUGAAGUAGAGGCAGGCGGAAUUCCCCGUGUAGCGGUGAAAUGCGUAGAGAUGGGGAGGAACACCAGUGGCGAAGGCGGCCUGCUGGGCUUUAACUGACGCUGAGGCACGAAAGCGUGGGUAGCAAACAGGAUUAGAUACCCUGGUAGUCCACGCUGUAAACGAUGAUUACUAGGUGUGGGGGGUCUGACCCCUUCCGUGCCGGAGUUAACACAAUAAGUAAUCCACCUGGGGAGUACGGCCGCAAGGUUGAAACUCAAAGGAAUUGACGGGGGCCCGCACAAGCAGUGGAGUAUGUGGUUUAAUUCGAAGCAACGCGAAGAACCUUACCAGGUCUUGACAUCCAACUAACGAAGUAGAGAUACAUUAGGUGCCCUUCGGGGAAAGUUGAGACAGGUGGUGCAUGGUUGUCGUCAGCUCGUGUCGUGAGAUGUUGGGUUAAGUCCCGCAACGAGCGCAACCCUUGCUAUUAGUUGCUACGCAAGAGCACUCUAAUAGGACUGCCGUUGACAAAACGGAGGAAGGUGGGGACGACGUCAAAUCAUCAUGCCCCUUAUGACCUGGGCUACACACGUACUACAAUGGAUGUUAACAGAGGGAAGCAAGACAGCGAUGUGGAGCAAACCCCUAAAAACAUUCUCAGUUCAGAUUGCAGGCUGCAACCCGCCUGCAUGAAGAUGGAAUUGCUAGUAAUCGCGGAUCAGCAUGCCGCGGUGAAUACGUUCCCG